rnacentral:snRNA from 1 species
GUGCUCACUUUAGCAGCACAAAUAAUAAAAUCAGAAAGAUGCAGAGAAGAUUAGCAUGCCCCCUGCACAAGGAUGACAUGCAAAUUCAUGAAGUGUUCCAUAUUUUU